GUCUAUGGCCACACCACCCUGAAUGUGCCUGAUCUUGGAAGCUAGGCAGGGUCGGGCGGUUAAUACUUGGCUGGGAGAACACACUGCAUACCGUUCACU
rnacentral:rRNA from 1 species